GUGGAGGGGUGGUGCUGGAACUGGGGCCGGGACCCGUGGGAGGGGGUAGGGGGGCGCGGCUCCGAAGGCGGCGGGGGUCCCCGGGGCGCUGCGUCCCUCGGAGCCCCGGAGAGCUGCAGGUCGGGUCUUUGUCGCGUUGAGACAAAGCCGCUGAACCUGGGCUGUCGCCUGUGCAGGUGCGCGGCCUCGUUCGCGGGAGGCGUGCGCUGGGGGAGCGGGCUUCCUGCACGAGGUCGCCGCUCAGGGGUUGAUUGGACGGAAUCUCGCGACACCCCAGGCACUGGCGCUUGUGCCGGAUCCACGUGAGAGUUCUCCAGGUUUGCUUUCAUGAGGUUUUGGGGUUUUUUAAUAUUUGGUCGAGUAAUUUGCUGUUUGGCAUCUUGGGCCACCAUCCCAUAGUUACGUAAAAAGUUGCACGUGGAAUUCACUACGUAGAUUUAGAAACUUAAGCUAUUUUAGAACAAGGGACUGCUUUCCUAAUCAUGUAACAGAGCACAUCCUAACCUGAUACCAGGCGGACGCUGUUUGGUGUGGGGAAGGGAGGUCUUACCGUGGUACCUGAGUUCACUCACCUGCCAGCCCCUCCCUGGGUCUGUGAGAACUCCCGGCUGCGGUGUGAGGGACCUGCCUUCCAGCGCUGGCUGCCCAGCGUUUACUCGGUGGUGAGAUCCCGACCCACGCCAUGUCCUGCAUGAGCCGCGGUCACUGAGCGCUUCACCUGGAUUCUCUUAGACUUGUUGAAAGGAGGACUCUUGGAGACUCAAAAAGGCAAAUGUAUUUCCAUGAAUAGAAAUAUAAUCCAACAUAUCUCUUCUGGGCCCAAUUUAGUUUGCAUUAUCAUUUUUUAUUGCGUAGGUUUCUGGCCUUGGUGGGAAACUAGCUGUGCGUGAAGAUGUGCUGAAAUUUCACAUAAGUAUGGGAAAGGUGGUAGAAAUUGAAACGCAGUCAUUUUUUUUUUCCUUCAGAUUUUCACCAUUAAAAUGGUGAAUUAAAUGUUCAUGCUGGUUCAUCCUUUCCCAUGAUGGAGUGUGCACAGAACCCUGAUUUGCAGCUCUGCUGUUUCUGUUUAUUGAAAGCAUCUACCUCACAGGACUGCCAGUACUGGAGCAUUACCCUAACUGGCCAUGAAUACAACUAUUGACAGGACCGAGGAUUAUGGAUUUUUGCAUCUCCAGCUCCGUACGUGGAUUCUGUGAGAUGGUCCCCCAUUUGCCCCGCACCGUUUGGUGAAUGCUCCAUGUUUUCUCCGUCGACAUGAAACGCCUCCCAGGAGAUUCUUGGGCAGACUUCAUGGCUUCUGAGCUGAGCUUGUGGUGACAGUGGUUCCUCUUUGUGAAACCUCUCCAGGCAGGCAGAGACCUCAAACACGCCACUGAGAGCUGCAAACAAGUC